AUUGAACGCUGGCGGCAGGCCUAACACAUGCAAGUCGAGCGGAUGAAGGGAGCUUGCUCCUGGAUUCAGCGGCGGACGGGUGAGUAAUGCCUAGGAAUCUGCCUGGUAGUGGGGGAUAACGUCCGGAAACGGGCGCUAAUACCGCAUACGUCCUGAGGGAGAAAGUGGGGGAUCUUCGGACCUCACGCUAUCAGAUGAGCCUAGGUCGGAUUAGCUAGUUGGUGGGGUAAAGGCCUACCAAGGCGACGAUCCGUAACUGGUCUGAGAGGAUGAUCAGUCACACUGGAACUGAGACACGGUCCAGACUCCUACGGGAGGCAGCAGUGAGGAAUAUUGGACAGUGGGCGAAAGCCUGAUCCAGCCAUGCCGCGUGUGUGAAGAAGGUCUUCGGAUUGUAAAGCACUUUAAGUUGGGAGGAAGGGCAGUAAGUUAAUACCUUGCUGUUUUGACGUUACCAACAGAAUAAGCACCGGCUAACUUCGUG
rnacentral:rRNA from 1 species